AUUUACCCGAGGACAGGAGUGGCCUGGAGUGCUGGGCCCCUCAGGGUCAUUUGUUUCUCGAGGGCUGUGUCCUGGAAGCAUAGCCCAGGUCCUGUAGGCUGGGUGGCAGAAAGCCACGACAUGAGGGCACCGAGGCCCCAUGGGGAUAGAGUGGAACCUGAGGAGGAGGUGGAGGGGAAUGGGGCAGACGUGUGCUGCUGAGUGAGAGGCAGAGGCCACAGAUGGAAUGCUGAGAGCUCUCUGAGGCCCACAUAUUACAGCUUCUGACCACACAGAGCUCCAGCUGCCCUGGUAAUGGCAGAAUCUGGGGUGGAGGAUUCUGUCACCCCAUAUGGCAGGGGGGUUGUCGGAGUAAUCCGGGGGGAGGGGCAUGGAGGCCAUAGGUUUCCCACAGGACUCGGGUGUUGAGUUCUCCAGGCUAUGGGCCAGGCCCUCUCGAGCUUGCCUCUGUGAGCUGCAGCAGGCACCCUGGGUCCUCUGGAUGCCUGUCCCCCAGCCAUGCAGACGGCCUGUGGGAACAACCACCACCAGAUUCACUCAUACCCACAGGGAAGGGGAAAUAGAAAACCCCAGAAGCACAGAGGGUCGAUGCUUGUCUUGGUGAGAGUCUGGAGUCAUUGAGGGAAAAAUAAAUUCAGUCAAGCGUUAUAUUUAAGUUUAGGGAAACUAUACGUUUUAAAAGUUGUCCAGAGCAUGCGUGUAAGAUGACGUUUGGAGUGUGGAAGCCGUGAGUCUCACCUGAGCUGUGCUGCCUGAUACAGGAACUUCGAGCCACACAUGGCUGGCGUGGUCAUUGCACUGCGUGUGGUAUGCGCAGCAGAUGCCAAAGGACCGGUACAAAAGGGAAUGCAAAAAACCCACCACACCUUGGGAGGCCGAGGCUGCUGGAUCUCUUGAGCUCAGCAGUUCAGGACUAGCCAGGGCAACACAGGGAGACCCAAUCUCUACAAAACAUACAAAAAUUAGCAGGGCAUGGUGGCACACAUCUGUAGUUCCAACUACUUGGGAGGCUGAGGUUGGAGGAUUGCUUGAGCCUGGGAGGUUGAGGUUGCAGUGAGCUGUGACUGCACCACUGCACUCCAGCCUGGGUGAGAGAGUGAGACCCUGUCUCAAAAAUAAACAAAAAACCCCAAAGUGAAUGAGGCUGGGCAUUGGUUCACACCUGUAAUCCCAACAUUUUUGGAGGCUGAGGCAGGAGCAUCACUUGAAGCUCGGAGUUUGAGACCAGCCUGGGCAACAUAGCAAGACCCCACCCAUUUCUACAAAGAAACAAGAAAAAGAACAAAGUCACUGCUGGGCUGAGGUGGCCAAUCAUCACCCACCACGUGUUCCUGACUGCGCUCCUCCUUGGCUCAGGGCAACCCUGACUCCAUCUUUGUUCAGCCAAGUGUGACAAGCUGACAGAGUUCCCAGCAUGACACCGCUGUAACCCUCACCACCACCAGGGAGAGACAAAGGCAGCGCUGCCCUCGGGGGAGUAUUGGCCCUGGCGGAACGCAGCAACCACGAGGGAUCCAGCCAGAGGAUGCCACGCCAGCCCAGCGCUACCAGGCUGCCCAAGGGGGGCGGGCCUGGGAAGAGCCCUACGCAGGGCAGCACCUAGGAUGGGGCAGAGACUUGUCACAUCUUUGUCCCCAGCAAAGGCUACAUGUUACCUCCUUCAGUUGAUAAUAAACCUUUCUGAGAUGCAGAGGGUCCAGGUCA
rnacentral:lncRNA from 10 species